UUUGUUUGCCAUGGAUGGGUAGGGGCUGCACUGAGCAGCACCGGUGUUCUUCAUCCGGCUGCACCCCCAACAGAGCUCUUUCUUCCCCAGAUCCCUUUUACAGUUGGAUUCUCCCUCUUGGAUCUGGCUCUGCCUUAGUCCGACCUAGAGGGAUCAGCUUCGCCCACGCCCACUCUCACCCGGAACCUUUCAUCUCUUAUUGAAGCCUUUUAGGCCCAUUGGGAUGUUCAUUAGAACUCUGAAAACUACAGUUCUCCCCUUUAUGAGGACUGCACCACAGCUCGCCCUCUCCUGGGUUCCGGUAAGAAGAGAUUCCAAUACCACUCUUUUUUCAGAAUUCAGAAAGGCAAGAGACCACCUUACUGAGCUUCAAACUGGGGCUGGGAACGCUGCCAUGAAUUGGGCUUGGUCUGUCUGAAGGGAGCCACCUUUUCGACAAUCCUUAGACUUCUUUUGCCUGUUGGAAUUACACCUUGGAUCGUGGCGAAGUCUAUAGAGGUCAGAUUAAGAAGAACCAAAGCAGAAUAAACGUAGAACCCGAUGCUGAGUUCACGAGUGAGGACGACCUCUUCCUAUAUGCUUUGCUAUACCCUGCGUUUUGAACAUUAAGGACGAGAUAGGAGGCCCAUAAUGUUUCUUCUUGCUUUAAUCCUGUCGUGGCAACGUUGACUUCCAGUAAGAAAGCCUGGUUGCAGAGUGAGCCCAUGGGACAGCCCUCUGAAAUUAUACUGCUUACAACCAUGCUGAGUCUGCAAGGACUUCGUCCAAGCCUUUCCGUCCAGGACCUCAAACAGAUCCAAUCACAAGAAGAGAGAUUUCAGGAAAGAGAAAAUUAUUCCUAUCAUCGGGGUUUUUGAAGAACAUGAAAUGACUGGGAAAAUAAUCAUGUUAAGUGGAAAAAAAAAAGAAAUCUAUCUGUUGUAAUUUUCAAAUAAUUUUUAAAUAAAUUUGAAAAAUUAAGAG
rnacentral:lncRNA from 1 species